rnacentral:lncRNA from 1 species
CCAGGAUUAAAAACAAAACAUAUACGCCCCAAUAAAAAUUAAAGACAAACCAAACAGACUUUACUGUAGCUAGGUAUAUCUGGUCUGUGUAAUCUGCUGGCUUGAUACAAAGAUACUAAUCGAUUUAUACCUGGAUGAUUACAUUUUCCUUGUCUGUAAGGUGAACUGCAAGCUUGCGUAGCCUUCCAUUUAAGUUGGAGAUAUAUGUUCGCAGCGGCAAUACCUUGUUUCAUUUAUACUGCAGUAGUGAAAUAGCUUGCCUUUUCACUAUACACUAUCAUGCUCCUCAUGGAAGUACUCUUACUUCCACCAGUUAAGUAUAUAACACUGAAUUUGACUAUCUGAUAGUUAACCUACAAAAUACAAGUGAUGCUAAUAGCUCUUGUUGAUAUGAACACAACAUAGUUAAACCGAAACAUACCAUCUUUGUGCGGGAUAUAAGGAACAUAGCAGCUCAGUUUGUCACUACUGUCAUCUGUGAUAUUAUGUUGGCAAGUUGCCAAUAAAAAUAGUAAUACACUGUAAUAAGGGAAAAGCAGGGUUGGGAAAUAUGGCAAGCAGUGUGUUCAAAUAAUCAAAAUCACAGUUUAACGUAUCUAACAAGUUUAUGGAAAAUCAAAUUGGAAAAUAUAUUAACACUUAACUUCUAAUGUUCAACAUUCACGCAACACAAUAGUCGGUAGCAAUCAGCAAAACAUCUCAAUCAAACAAGAUCUAGCUAUUGCAUCCAUUGCUCGAGGCACUACAUAACUCUAAAUUAAUAAUAAUAAUAUAAGGGCUCGCCACUUUGGCCAGGUCGGAGACGAACCUGGGGAUCCAUGU